rnacentral:tRNA from 1 species
GGUGCUGUGGACAAGUUGGUUAAGUCGUCUGUCUUUCACGCAGAAGAUCGCGGGUUCGAACCCCGUCGGCACUA